rnacentral:rRNA from 1 species
UACGUAGGGGGCAAGCGUUGUCCGGAAUUAUUGGGCGUAAAGCGCGCGCAGGCGGUGGAUGAAGUUUGGUGUUUAAGCCCAGGGCUCAACCCUGGUGAGCACUGAAAACUGGUUCACUUGAGUACAGAAGAGGAGAGUGGAAUUCCACGUGUAGCGGUGAAAUGCGUAGAUAUGUGGAGGAACACCAGUGGCGAAGGCGACUCUCUGGUCUGAAACUGACGCUGAGGCGCGAAAGCGUGGGGAGCAAACAGG